ACAGGCUUAACACAUGCAAGUCGAGGGGCAGCACAGGUAGCAAUACCGGGUGGCGACCGGCGCACGGGUGAGUAACGCGUAUGCAACUUGCCUAUCAGAGGGGGAUAACCCGGCGAAAGUCGGACUAAUACCGCAUGAAGCAGGGGCCCCGCAUGGGGAUAUUUGCUAAAGAUUCAUCGCUGAUAGAUAGGCAUGCGUUCCAUUAGGCAGUUGGCGGGGUAACGGCCCACCAAACCGACGAUGGAUAGGGGUUCUGAGAGGAAGGUCCCCCACAUUGGUACUGAGACACGGACCAAACUCCUACGGGAGGCAGCAGUGAGGAAUAUUGGUCAAUGGGCGCGAGCCUGAACCAGCCAAGUCGCGUGAGGGAUGAAGGUUCUAUGGAUCGUAAACCUCUUUUAUAAGGGAAUAAAGUGCGGGACGUGUCCCGUUUUGUAUGUAUCUUAUGAAUAAGGAUCGGCUAACUCCGUGCCAGCAGCCGCGGUAAUACGGAGGAUCCGAGCGUUAUCCGGAUUUAUUGGGUUUAAAGGGUGCGUAGGCGGCCUUUUAAGUCAGCGGUGAAAGUCUGUGGCUCAACCAUAGAAUUGCCGUUGAAACUGGGGGGCUUGAGUAUGUUUGAGGCAGGCGGAAUGCGUGGUGUAGCGGUGAAAUGCAUAGAUAUCACGCAGAACCCCGAUUGCGAAGGCAGCCUGCCAAGCCAUUACUGACGCUGAUGCACGAAAGCGUGGGGAUCAAACAGGAUUAGAUACCCUGGUAGUCCACGCAGUAAACGAUGAUCACUAGCUGUUUGCGAUACACUGUAAGCGGCACAGCGAAAGCGUUAAGUGAUCCACCUGGGGAGUACGCCGGCAACGGUGAAACUCAAAGGAAUUGACGGGGGCCCGCACAAGCGGAGGAACAUGUGGUUUAAUUCGAUGAUACGCGAGGAACCUUACCCGGGUUUGAACGCAUUCGGACCGAGGUGGAAACACCUUUUCUAGCAAUAGCCGUUUGCGAGGUGCUGCAUGGUUGUCGUCAGCUCGUGCCGUGAGGUGUCGGCUUAAGUGCCAUAACGAGCGCAACCCUUGCCACUAGUUACUAACAGGUAAAGCUGAGGACUCUGGUGGGACUGCCAGCGUAAGCUGCGAGGAAGGCGGGGAUGACGUCAAAUCAGCACGGCCCUUACAUCCGGGGCGACACACGUGUUACAAUGGCGUGGACAAAGGGAAGCCACCUGGCGACAGGGAGCGAAUCCCCAAACCACGUCUCAGUUCGGAUCGGAGUCUGCAACCCGACUCCGUGAAGCUGGAUUCGCUAGUAAUCGCGCAUCAGCCAUGGCGCGGUGAAUACGUUCCCGGGCCUUGUACACACCGCCCGUCAAGCCAUGGGAGCCGGGGGUACCUGAAGUCCGUAACCGCGAGGAUCGGCCUAGGGUAAAACUGGUGACUGGGGCUAAGUCAUAACA
rnacentral:rRNA from 1 species